rnacentral:rRNA from 1 species
GUGUCAGCAGCCGCGGUAAGACGUAGGAUGCGAGCGUUGUUCGGAUUUAUUGGGCGUAAAGCGUACGUAGGCGGCUGCCUAAGUCUGGUGUUAAAGCUAGAGGCUCAACCUCUGUGAUGCACUGGAAACUGGGCAGCUUGAGAGCGGUAGGGGAAGGUGGAAUUCCGAGUGUAGCGGUGAAAUGCGUAGAUAUUCGGAAGAACACCGGUGGCGAAGGCGACCUUCUGGGCCGUUUCUGACGCUGAGGUACGAAAGCGUGGGGAGCAAACAGGAUUAGAUACCCUGGUAGUCCACGCUGUAAACGAUGGUCACUAGGUGUCGGGGGUAUCGACCCCCUCGGUGCCGUAGCUAACGCGUUAAGUGACCCGCCUGGGGAGUACGCACGCAAGUGUGAA